rnacentral:lncRNA from 1 species
UAUGCAAAGCUUGUCAUUUUUCUUUUUACAGUAGUUAAUGUUUGAUAAUAGUGAUUUGUGUUUUAUUUACUAGUUAAGAAUGACAAGGUUAUAGAGGAUUUCCUGUUCAUUUUAUCUCGUCAGGAGCACACAUCUCCUGGCAACAUAGUCUAGAAUUAUCAAAGCCCCAAGUUUGUUAUUGACAGGGCUUCUAGUAAAUCCAUAACAUGCUGCUUCUCAGUGGAAUAUCUUUAAUGUGCUGGUGAGAUUGUUCAGCACAAGGAAAAGCAGCUCUGGCAUCUAUGGUCGGUUUUUAUGUCCUUUGCACAUUCUUAACACCAGUGUUUUUACAUUCAUAAGAAGUGAAAAUUUGAAGAAGUGCCUGUUAGGUUUGAAACCUUGAACCCUUGGAAGUUGGGAUAUCCUGCAAACUAAGCUUGAUCCUGUAAUGUUGACUGAGGAAUGGAAAAGGAAAACAGGACAAUAGCACUGUUAGUUGUGGUGCAAACACAUAUAAGAAAGGUGCUACUGUUGAUGGUGCUGCUGCUCCUUAAAUACCAGAAGCAUAAUGAAGAAGUAAAGUGUGCCUGCUGUGAGAACUACCUUGCAGAACCUGGAUCACUUUGGAUCCAGACUGGAAGAUUUGCCUGGAAGCUGAGGACAUGGUUUGUAUUUGACUCUGAGACUGGAAUUGUAUUGUAACGCACUCCACUUCAGGGUGUUGUGGUGCAUCCUACCCCUGGUGCCUGGGAGCCAGCAGGGUAAACUACACAUUUAGAGGCAUUGGUGUAGGUAUUCCAAAGUCUCUAGACCCAGAUCCUCAAAGGCAAUUAGGGACCCAGCAUGGGGAGUGGAAUUCACAAACCCAAGUUAGACACCCUAUAUAGUGAAUGAGGUGACUUGGGAUUUACAACAUACAGCAUGCUGAAUGGGAUAUCUAAAGUCAAAAGGAAACCCUGAAGAGAGAAGUGUAUCCAAAAUCCAGCCUCUCUGGUGGAUUUAGGUGCCUACCUGCAGCCCUGAGUCACAUCUGUGAGAGGCUGGGAUUUGUAGCCUGAAAUCUACUCCUGCACUUAGGUGCUGGAAUUGUCCUUGUGGGUACAGAUGACUUGUUCAUUCUUCUCAUUCAAAUAUGUGAACCACCUUCCUUCAUGUUCUCAAACUGCUAGGCCUGGCUGAGGCCCACCAUCCCCUUUUCUUGUUGAAGCUGGGCCACGGUGGAGUCAAGAUUGCAUCGGGCCAGAGAGAAAACAAGCAAGAGGAAACCUAACCCUGUAGCUCACUGACAAGGGACCCAACAGCAGAGCAGGGUUCUGGGGUCUGGUUCCUGUUCCCAGGGCUGCUUAUGCAUUUUGUAUGUAAACAGUCACUGAAUAAAAUAUAUAAACAGUCCUGGAUUCA